CCAAUAGCGUAUAUUAAAGUUGUUGCAGUUAAAAAGCUCGUAGUUGAAUUUCGGGGUUAGUAGGUUGGUCAUGCCACUGGUAUGUACUGGUCUCACUGAUUCCUCCUUCCUGAUGAGCCGUAAUGCCAUUAAUUUGGUGUUGCGAGGAAUCUGGACUGUUACUUUGAAAAAAUUAGAGUGUUUAAAGCAGGCUAACGCUUGAAUACAUUAGCAUGGAAUAAUGAAAUAGGACGUUCGAUCUUAUUUUGUUGGUUUCUAAGAUUGACGUAAUGAUUAAUAGGGAUAGUUGGGGGCAUUAGUAUUCAAUUGUCAGAGGUGAAAUUCUUGGAUUUAUUGAAGACUAACUACUGCGAAAGCAUUUGCCAAGGAUGUUUUCAUUAAUCAAGAACGAAAGUUAGGGGAUCGAAGACGAUCAGAUACCGUCGUAGUCUUAACCAUAAACUAUGCCGACUAGGGAUCGGAUGAUGUUAAUUUUUUAAUGACUCAUUCGGCGCCUUACG
rnacentral:rRNA from 1 species